GGAUUAGAUACCCUGGUAGUCCACGCCGUAAACGAUGUCAACUAGCCGUUGGGCAAUAUAAAAUUGUUUAGUGGCGCAGCUAACGCGAUAAGUUGACCGCCUGGGGAGUACGGUCGCAAGAUUAAAACUCAAAGGAAUUGACGGGGGCCCGCACAAGCGGUGGAGCAUGUGGUUUAAUUCGAUGCAACGCGAAAAACCUUACCUACCCUUGACAUCAUCAGAACUUGUUAGAGAUAACUCGGUGCCUUCGGGAACUGAUAGACAGGUGCUGCAUGGCUGUCGUCAGCUCGUGCCG
rnacentral:rRNA from 1 species